GUGACAACUGCAAUAGAGAAAAAAGAAAGACAUUUUAGUAUUAUACACUGGAAAAAAACACGCUAGUACAUUGCACAGCUUAUUAGAAAGAAAUGGUAAGUAACACAUUUAAAUUUUUAAGUAGAAAGACAAAGACUGAAAUAGGAUUUCUUUUUCUGAAAAACAUAUUUUUUACAGUACAUAUAUAUGUGUGUGUGUGUGUUUGUGCGGUGUGUAUGAGAAGUCGCAAAUCUUGACUGACUGUAUAGAUAUUGAAUAUUGAUUAAAUACUUAUUGUACUGUCUCCCCCUGGUGGUUACAGCCUCAUGUAAAUGCUUUGUUUCUACAAGCAGGCUAUUUUCAACUAUAUUCUUAAUAUUACAAAAUAGAUGCAUCAGAUGAAAAAAAUUCAGCUUGUGUCUCGUGUGUCCUGUCAUCAAAUUGCACAUCUGCUCUAGCUGUAGUGAAACUUACACCAGCUGCUCAUCUACAUGAAGUCUUUGAUACUGAGGUCAGCGAGAGGGUCUUUAGGAGGGGGAGGCUUCCUGGGACUCUGGGCCAUUCCUGGUGACAUCUGAGGAGCAAUAAUAAAGUAUGUGUAUGUGUAUUUACACGCUAAGCAUUCUUGUCUAAAUGACUAUAUCAGUAAAUUCAACUGCAUGUAUGUCUAAAAUACCGGUUGUCCAGGGGCUCCUGGUGCGGGAAACUGUGGCCUCAUCAUCGGUGAGCCAGGCAUCAUGGGAGCAGUUCCUGCACCAGUCUGUGAGUCACACAGAGACACAACACACAGGAGGGAACCUGCACACACACCCGGGAUGGUGGUUACCAGUCUGAGGAGCCCAGAGAGAGGCAGGGAGAAGAGGAAGCUUGUGAUUGGCUCUACGUCAUGCUGCUCAAAGCCAUGCGACUCCACCCCCAUGCUUCACAUCUACAGAACAACACAACAUUUACCAUGGCAACGCCCCAGCUAGGGGUGGGUACCUGCGCUUGCCAGUUUGCCCCUCCAGCUGCUUCACCCCUGAGAGGUAAAGAAAGAUAGAAAUAGAAAAGGAACAGGUACAAAAAUAUUUAUUUGAAGAGGGCAAGAAAAUAUGGUGAAAUAGAGUGAAGGAAGUUACUGUAGCUUACGGUUUCUGGUUCCCCACUGCCAAAUCUGCAAGCACAGACACAGAAAUAUAUAAAUUUACAUUUUGCUGUGAUGUCAUGAAGAACAAUUUUUUAUUCCCCAAAGAACCUUUUAGUCAACAGUUCUGGAAAGAACCAUUUUUUCUUAGUGUGAAAAAUACUUUAAUAAUCUAUAGAACCUUUUCCACUAUAAAGAACAUUUUGUGGAAUUGAAAGAUUUCAUGGAUGUUAAAGCUUCUUCAUGGAACCACUGAUUCCAGUAAAGAACCCUAAAAUGUCAAAGUGUUGUAACUUCAUUCUAUUUGGUUAUACUCUUUAAAAUAAAGGUUCUAAAAGGUGUAUCUCAAAAAACCUUUCUGUUAACAGUUUUUAAGAGAACCAUUAUUUUUCUUAGUGUGAAGAUCAUUUUAAUAAUUUAAAGAGUUUUUUUCUGCUAUAAAGAACCUUUUAAAGGUUCUUCAUGGAACCAUUGAUGCCAAUAAGGAAACUUUAAUGUUAAGACUGUAUGAUUUUGGAGUACACAAAGUAAAAAGUGGAUGGGAACGUACUGCUGGCCAUGUUGGCCAUAGCUGAGUCCAGAUCUCCUCCCUGUGGAGCCAUAGCUGGCAUGAGCACAUCACCGAAUCCAUCAAAAGCUUUAAGGGGGAGUGAAGAGUAAGAGAAACAGUGAGCUUGAUUUUGAGUAACAGUAAAAAAAAAAAAAAAAAAAAAAAAAAAAGGGAGCUUAACUGAACACUAACAACCGUUACACAGUGCAUAUCUCUAUGGCAACCAGUACAAGAAAAAUCUAAAAGAUGAGAGCAGUAAGAAAGAGCUGAGCGCUAUCAUCAACUACAGUCACACAAAGCCAUGAAACAUUAAACAUUUAUUUCAACAUAACAUUUAACAUUAAUAUCAUCAUUUACAUAUAAGACUUGUUUCACACAGCACGGAAAGCAGAACAUACUACUACCAAAAGACUUGCUUUGUGCUUUUAUAUUGACACCAUCUGCAGCUAAAUACUGAAAAUAACAUGAUUUCUGGGUUACUACACUGGGUUUUUAAGGUUAACUAUUAAAAUGUUUUUGUUAACUGCAAUAAAGCUAAAAAAAAUAUAAAUAUUAGAUGAAAAAGUUAAACUAAACUUUGCCUUGCCAAAUAGCUGGAAAUUAAAACUAAAACUGAAAUAAAAUUAAACCUAAAUAGUAACAUUUAAUAUAAAAUAUACAAAAAUAUAUAAUAAAUGUAAAUAUUAUACAAAAGAAUAAUAAAAAUGACAAAAGCACAUUACA